GGUGUUAUAGCUUAGUGGUAGAGCUCUUGCCUUGUACAUGUGAGACACUGAGUUCGAUCCUCAGCACCA
rnacentral:tRNA from 1 species